rnacentral:SRP_RNA from 1 species
GUUGGGCAUGGUGGUGCGUGCCUGUAAUCCCAGCUACUCAGGAGGCUGAGGCAGGAGAAUCGCUUGAACCCGGGAGGUGGAGGUUGCGGUGAGCCGAGAUUGUGCCAUUGCACUCCAGCCUGGGUGACAGAGCGAGACUCUGUCUCAA